UACGAAGGGGGCUAGCGUUGUUCGGAAUUACUGGGCGUAAAGCGCGCGCAGGCGGCCAAUCAAGUCAGGGGUGAAAGCCCGGAGCUCAACUCCGGAAUUGCCUUUGAAACUGAUCGGCUUGAGUACGGGAGAGGUGAGUGGAAUUCCCAGUGUAGAGGUGAAAUUCGUAGAUAUUGGGAAGAACACCGGUGGCGAAGGCGGCUCUCUGGACCGUAACUGACGCUGAGGCGCGAAAGCGUGGGGAGCAAACAGG
rnacentral:rRNA from 1 species